rnacentral:rRNA from 1 species
UACGGGGGGAGCAAGCGUUGUUCGGAUUUACUGGGCGUAAAGGGCGCGUAGGCGGCGUGACAAGUCACUUGUGAAAUCUCCGGGCUUAACUCGGAACGGUCAAGUGAUACUGUCGGACUAGAGUACAGAAGGGGCAACUGGAAUUCUCGGUGUAGCGGUGAAAUGCGUAGAUAUCGAGAGGAACACCUGCGGCGAAGGCGGGUUGCUGGGCUGACACUGACGCUGAUGCGCGAAAGCUAGGGGAGCGAACGGG